UCCUGAUAAGGACCGAGGGAUAGCUCAGUCAGUAGAGCAUGAGACUCUUAAUCUCAGGGUUGCGGGUUUGAGCCCCACAUUGGGCA
rnacentral:tRNA from 1 species